CCAGUGCUCUGCGCGGUAGUUCUCCACGCGGACCGUCGACGCUGGCCGAACCCAGGUCCUUAAGGCAAAGAACAAGACUGGUCUGGCUGUGCUGAGCCAAGGAUAAUAGGAAAUGCUGGAAGGUGGCAGGCCUGGGGGAGCAAAGACUCACUAGUCAAAUUUAGAAGACCGCGUUUUAACAACUGCUUUUAAACCAACCUAACACCGUACUUCAGUAUUUAGCUGGAG